rnacentral:tRNA from 1 species
CCCCUCGUAGCCCAGCGGCAGAGGCUGGCGCCUUAAAAGCGCCGUUCCAGCGCGGGUUCGACUCCCGCCGAGGGGA